GGGAGGGAGCCUUGACUUUUCCCCUUUGUUCCUGCUUUGCAAUCAACAGCCUUGCUGUGGCUUUCCAACCGCAUUCAGACAUGCACGCACACAAACAGACACGUGCACCCUAACAUCUGAGGACCUAGAAUAUUUGAGUAAAUGGCUGCAGUACCUUGAAAUGUGAUCAAGCUUCAAGAGCAGGUACCAGGCCAAGAGAAAUAACUCUUAUCCAUAAAAAGUUCCACAGUAAAUCAGUAACUCUUUUCUUCCACAUGUCUCCUGACAUGUUUCAUUUGUCUGCCUUGACAGGAUUGUGGCAAGUGGAGCCGACCAUUGGUGAAAUUAGAAUGGGCCUUUGUGGGGAAGGGCUGGACGUCAGGCGUGGAUGGACAGGACGGAGGGCUACACAGAGUAGGGAUCUUGUAAACACCUGUAGGUCAGCUUCAUGUGAUGGAGGGUCCAAAAGAAGGGAACGGAGAUUUCAGACGUUGCAGGUUUAAAAUACAUCAGGCCAAUGGGCAGACACCGGAACAGUCAUAUCCUCCAAGAGAUUUAACUUCUUCUUUUCCUCAUUUGCUUCUCCCUAGAAUUCGGCCUUCAUCAUCAAUGCUGGAGAAUAAGACAGACCUGUUCACUUCCCCUUCGGCAUGUGACGUUUGGAACACAGAUUUACGUGAGGAGCAGGAAAAGAUCAUCUCGGGCUCCUGCUGCUGCUGUCCAGCCUCCCUGGCUCUGUGCGAAGAGUGUCCUCCCAAGGCACCUGGACGUCCCACCUUUGAGAGAGAUUUGCACACACCGUGACCCACGAGCAGGUCCUUGGGGCCAGAAGGAGCCUCCACUGUCAGCACAAGAGCACCACCGCCAAGUCAGACAGCUUCUUGGAAAAUAAAAAGUGAAGUCACAGAACAAAACAAAAACUCUCUCUUCAAACUGCUGUCUCUCCCUGCCGUGUGAGGACAACAGUGGAAAAGCAGCCAUCUGCAAGCCAAGAAGAAAGCUCCAACCAGAACCCAGGCAUGCUGGCACCCACAUCUCAGAUGUUUAUCUUCCAGAACUGUAAGAAAAUAACAUAUCUGUUGUUUAAGCCACCUAGUCUAUGGUAUUUUGUUCUGGCAGCCAGAGCUAGCUAGGACAGGACUAAGUGGUCCUCUGAGCCAACCUUCUUAUUUUACACAGAUCCAAAGGGACACAGAGCAGACCAGGAUCAAAACCCAGCCCAUUCUCUAACCCACAGCCCACAGCUCUAGCCAAUGAAACAAGCUUGCCAAAUAGUGCAGAAUGAAAGAACAGGCCGAAAGCAAAAUGUAUAUUUUUCUUAAACAUUUCGAUACCUUUAAACUCUUUUUUAGACUAGCUUUGAAAUAACAUUUAACUGAAGGUCCAAGGGGACCUCCAGAAAGGCGUGAAGUUGAGAAUUUGGCUUACAAGGCUUCCAAAGAUGAGAAAGGGAGAGGCCUACCUUUUGGUUAUAAUGAAAUUGUAAUUACAGCGUUGUGAGUUAUGCAAAGGAGAGCAGACAGCAGGAUUCACAACCCCAUGAAAUUUCUUGUAUCUGUAUGCAAAACUGAAUGAACUAAAACAUGUCAGAGCUUCUCUUUAAAAUCCUCUGUUGCAAGCACUACGUUACAUGAGAAUGGUGUUUUACACCUCACAGUGCGCUUCUACAUAACAGGGGAUCCACGCAAGAGCCAGCAGAGGAAUUUAGCAUCCAUAAGUGAUCAAGCAAAGUCGCACAGCUGCUGAGAGUUAGAACUGACACUUGAAUACUGUGUGUGCAUGUGAGAGAGAGAGAAUGACUUGGGGUGGGGUUGAUCCCACUUCACUAUAUGCUCUAGAGCUGCACUCCAAGAAGUGUCGUAAACAUUCGCCAUUAACAAAAAGACUAAACUACCAGUAAAAGGCCCGGGUUUUAGCUCUGCCAUCAAUUCAUGGUCAGCUUGGGCCAGUCACUUAGCCUCUAGUUCUCUGUUUCUUCAACUAUGAAAAAAGUGUGUUAAAUAGUUUUGUCUUUGAUUCUCUUUCCAUUCAGUCUGUGAUUUUCACAAUUAAUCGCAAUUAGUUAGAUACAGAAAAUCAAGCCAUGUUCUGAGGGAAGGACAUUGAAAGCAAAGAUCUCAGGAAUAUUCAGCAGUGUGCCUUUCUCCAGAGGUGGCCAUUUUGGGAAAAUCUGGCCACACCUGUCAGUCAGCUGCUGAGAAGCCCCAGGGCAAACAACAGUCCAGGUGGGAUCACAGACCUGCCCCUCAGAAAAGAGGCUACCUAAAGACCCCUCGGGCACACAGCUGCCACUAAUUCCAGCCAGAGACUAAGCCCCACCCACCAGAGGGAUUAGAAUCAGCUCCACCUACCAGUGGGCAGGCAUCAGCCCCUCCCAUCAGGAAGCCUACAGCAAGCCCCCCAUACCGACUUCAGCCACAAGGGGGCAGACACCAGAAGUAAGAGAGGCUACAACUCUACUAUCUGUAAAAAGGUCACCACACCAAAAAACCUAUAAAAAUGAAAAGACAGAGAACUAUAACUCAGAUGAGGGAGAAAGGAAAAACCCCAGAAAAACAGCUAAGCCAUUAGGAGAUUCUCAGCCUCCAGGAAAAAGAUUUUAGAUUGUUGAUGCUAAAGAUGAUGCAAGACAUUGGAAAUAAACUGGAGGCAAAGAUGGAUAACUUACAGGAAACACUAACUAAAGAGAUACAAGAUAUCAAACUGAAACAAGAAGAGAUGCAAAAUACAAUAACUGAAAUAAAAAAUUCACUAGAAGCAGCUAACAGCAGAAUACAGGAGGCAGAAGAACGAAUAAGCGAGGUGGAGGACAGAUUAGUGGAAAUUA
ensembl:lncRNA